AUGCCUGUACCAUAACCGACACAGGUGGGUAGGUAGAGUAUACUAAGGGGCGCGAGAUAACUCUCUCUAAGGAACUCGGCAAAAUGACUCCGUAACUUCGGGAGAAGGAGUGCCUACUGGUUUACACCAGAGGUUGCAAUAACAAGAUCCAAGCAACUGUUUACCAAAAACACAGGUCUCCGCUAAGUCGUAAGACGAUGUAUGGGGGCUGACGCCUGCCCAGUGCCAGAAGGUUAAAGAAGUUGGUUAGCAUCCGCGAAGCUGAUAACUGAAGCCCAGGUGAACGGCGGCCGUAACUAUAACGGUCCUAAGGUAGCGAAAUUCCUUGUCGGGUAAGUUCCGACCCGCACGAAAGGCGUAAUGAUUUGGAUACUGUCUCGGAGAGGGGCUCGGUGAAAUAGACUUGUCUGUGAAGAUGCGGACUACCUGCACCUGGACAGAAAGACCCUAUGAAGCUUUACUGUAACUUGAAAUUGAAAUUGGACUUUAUAUGCGCAGUAUAGGUGGGAGGCUAGGAAAUGGUUCUUGCGGGAACCAUGGAGCCAUCAGUGAGAUACCACUCUUAUAAUGUUAGAUUUCUAACUUUGCAUCAUUCUCUGGUCAAAGAACAGUUUCAGGCGGGCAGUUUGACUGGGGCGGUCGCCUCCCAAACGGUAACGGAGGCGCACAAAGGUUUCCUCUGAACGGGUAGAAAUCGUAUCUAGAGUGUAAAGGCAUAAGGAAGCUUGACUGUGAGACCUACAAGUCGAGCAGGGACGAAAGUCGGUCUUAGUGAUCUGACGGUGCUGAGUGGAAAGGCCGUCACUCAACGGAUAAAGUUACUCAAGGAUAACAGGCUGAUCUCCCCCAAGAGUUCACAUCGACGGGGAGGUUUGGCACCUCGAUGUCGGCUCAUCGCAUCCUGGGGCGGUAGUACGUCCCAAGGGUUGGGCUGUUCGCCCAUGAAAGCGGUACGCGAGCUGGGUUCAGAACGUCGUGAGACAGUUCGGUCCAUAUCCGGUGUAGGCGUUAGAAUAUUGAGAGGAGCCUUCUCUAGUACGAGAGGACCGAGAAGGACAUACCUCUGGUGUACCAGUUAUCGUGCCAACGGUAAACGCUGGGUAGCUAUGUAUGGAGUGGAUAACCGCUGAAAGCAUCUAAGUGGGAAGCCCACCUCAAGAUAAGUAUUCUCAUGGCUUAAGCCAGUAAGGUCACGGGAAGAACACCCGUUGAUAGGCUCUACGUGGAAGCGCAGCAAUGUGUGAAGCGGAGGAGUACUAAUAGACCGAGGGCUUGACC
rnacentral:rRNA from 1 species